rfam:Loxodonta africana unplaced genomic scaffold scaffold_29, whole genome shotgun sequence.
UGGCUUAGUGGUUAAAGUGCUCAGCUGCUAACUGAAAGGUCGGUGGUUCGAACCCACC